rnacentral:lncRNA from 1 species
GGGUAGGUUGGAACCCUGGGUCACCGUUUCGGUAUACUCGAGUAUUACCACUGAAGGGAUAAGGUGAUGGCCAGUCAAACCGAGGGGAUCCGGAAGUCAUAAGGUGCAGAUGACCGACAGAGUUCCACUGGAACACCGUAUCCUACCGUAUAUGUUUACCUUGUAUCAUUAUAAUUGUUUCAUGCUAAAAUGCCAACAUGAAAUCCUGAGCUAUGCCUGUGAUAUGCUCCAUAUCUGUUACCUGACCAAUGUACUCAUACCAUGACACCUGUCUCAUGAUAAAUGUCUCAUGCCAUGAUAAAUGUCUCAAAUUACUCGUACAAUGAUUAUCACCUCAUGAUAACAUGCCAUUGUGCAACCUUGAACCAUGCAUAUGAUAUACCCAACUUAAUUGAUUUAUUUGAACUGUUAGAGUGUCUUGGAACCUCACUGGGCUGUGUAGCUCAUCCCACGUUGUGGUUUUCUUUUACAGGGUUCGAGACCAAGGGUGCUCGUGAGUAGUACUAAAUUGUUUUCUUUUGGAGACUUUAAGUUAUAUUAUAACGGAUGACUAUUGUACCCUUUUCCGUUGGAUUGUAUUUAAGUUUGAAAGCUGUAUAAUUGUAAGUGUGAGAUAUUUGAAGUACUUUAAUUAUGUAUUGAGGUUACUUAAAGUAUUUCGAGCUUUUGAAUGAUGGAUUGUAGUGAGACCUGGCGAGAGCUGGGCAGGCGUCCCGCGGAUACCCUUUGGUUCGCCUUAGGGAGAAGUGGGGCCGUCACAGUUGGUAUCAGAGCUUAGGUUUCAAAUCUUUGUAGUGUAUCCUAGACUUAAAUGUUUAGGAUGCCGGACUGUGGGACUAGUCUGAAAGUUAAAUGAUUGCUUGUACCGAUGAAAUUUAGGGUCACUUCACGUGGUCUCUACAAAGGAGCAAGAUAGGGCCAAGUGGUGUUAUGGUCCUUACUAUGUGAUUGAGUAAAGACUUAAGUGUCUUUCUAGAAAUGUAAGCUGUGAAUCAUGAAUGUGAUAGGUUGUAAAACCUUUAUCUUGAUAAUUGGAGGGAAUUUAAUAUGUAUGUUGGGUAGGAAUCUCGAAUGUGGUGAUUUACUCUUGGGACCGGCCUGCUCGAGUUGUGAAUUACCUUAUUUCGGAUUCUUGUACCUGAAUACUUGAGGGUGGAAAGCAACCCUAAGGGCUUGACAUCUCCAUUUAUGGGGAAUAGGAAUGAAUUGAUAUUUAAUGAGAAUGGUUACAGGAAACCACUAAUUGUUUGGUUGGGUGGCAUAAUGAUUAAGAACGGGAGAUGGAAAAUAUCGUAACCCAAAAGAUCCUUGUGUUUAGAUUGAAAUCGAGCAUGUUAGGGAACGAGAAUCGUCUAGUUCCAAUUAAUCUAGUGAAUCUCUACUUGUGAUCUUUCAUAGUGAGAUGAUGGGGGUAGAAUUUAAGAGUUGCGCCUUGGAGAUGAAUGUACUUGUGAUAAUCACUUGUUUAUUUUUGUUAUUGACUUUGACUUGGCAUGAACUUUACUUGGCCAUAACUUGUUUUAUGAUUUAAUGAAAUCUAGUUUGUGUUUACUUGCAUAGUGAUAAUGAUAUUUAUAUAUGUGAUUUCUUUUCCUUUAAAGGUUGUUAUUGGCAUAUAUGUGUAGUUCAACUAUGGCUUAGUGUGAGAUUUAUACAUAUGUGUAUAGAUUAGUUGUGAAUAUGGAAACUAGAGGACAACGAAAGGGACGUCAACCUAGACAACCCCGAAAUGAAAGAGUAGCUAAUGGGUCCGAUAUUGAUCAAAACGUUGAGCCAAGUGUUGGGAGAGGAAAUGAUCAAAUGGGACAAGUUUUAACUCGCAUGACGGAUAUCUUAGAACUCUUAGUAGCUCAACAAGGUCAAGGUGUUGGACAAGGAAACCAACGUGGAAACCAAGAGAUAGGGGAGGAUCGAGCUUUAGAGCGGUUUCAGAAAUUUUUCCCACCCAAGUUUGCUGGAGGACCUGAUCCAGAGGUGGCUGAGAAUUGGUUAGAAAAUAUAAGAAAUAUAUUCGAUGCCUUGGAUUACACAGAGGAAAGACAAGUUACUUUUGCUGUAUUUCAACUUGAAGGAGCAGCCCGAGCCUGGUGGAAUGUUAUAAGAAACAAGUGGGAAAGGGAUCAAACCCUAAGGACUUGGGUAAACUUUGUACGUGAAUUUAAUGAGAAAUUUCUUCCUCCACUUGUCCAAGAAAAGAGAGAAGAUGAUUUUAUAAAGCUUCGUCAAGGAACUUUGAGCGUAGCUGAGUAUGAAACACGCUUUACGAAAUUAUCUACGUAUGCCCCAGAAUUGGUGGCUACUGAACGGAAGAGAAUAAGACGGUUUAUCCAAAGAUUAGAUUUGGAAAUUCAAGAUGCCCUUGCCGCAGCACAGGUUGAAACAUUUAGUGACGCUCUCGAAAAAGCACAAAGGGUAGAAAUCACAAAAUCUCAACUGAGAGCUUUUCAAGGAAGGAAAAGAGAUGCAUCUAACAGUACACUAGGAGAAAAUGGACCACCACCCAAAGUUAGAAAAGGAGUGGAUGGAGUAGAACUAUCACUUCCUGCACCACUCAUGAUAAAGGAACCAAAAGGGACUACGUCCCGAAGAGCUCCAGUAGGACAAAUGCAGUCAAAGAGGACCUCACAAGCAAGUCAGGUCACAGUGUCCCGUCCAACCUGUGGAUAUUGUGGAAGGACGAAUCAUAUUGAAGAAAACUGUUGGCUAAAGGGGCAAAAGUGUAUGGGGUGUGGAAGUACCAACCAUAAAGUUCAUGACUGUCCAAGGAGGUAUCCACGAGAAACUACUGCUCAACAAGGAAAUGGAACUGUCUCUCGGCAAGUCAAUGGAAGGAGAAACCGACCAGUGGCAUCUGAAAGAACGCAUGACAUGAACACACCACACGGUUCAGAGUUGUCUGAGAUUACAGAAGGUAUGAAUUUCGAGGACGAAAUUCUUUUAAGGAGGGGAGGUUGUGAGGACUCGCAAAAAUUUACUUAUUUAAUAUCCUAUUUCGAGUUUAUCUAAUUAUUUAUUUGGUCUUUUACUCCGAAUAUUAUUUUCUAAGCUCUUGAGACCUAAUUACAUGGAAAUAUAGUUUCAUUAUAUUUUUAAAAUGACUUGUUUCAAAAAUUAAUUUUCGUAAGCUCGUUUAGUGAAAAUAGUGAAUACGUCUUUGGAAAUCUUCACCGAUUGAGAGUACAAUAAGAUUGGAAUAUUGGAGACAUGUACAAUGGACCUAAAUUAGGUAUUUUAAUGUUUAAAUACUCAAGUGAUAAUUAUUAGUACUAUCGUUAUAAGAAUUUCUCGGAAGUUUCGCGUUAUUGCGCUUAAAUUGGAGAUACGCGUUUUCACACGUGCGAUUUAAAUUGAGGAACGUUAGACCCUUAUUUUGGGACAAUUGAGAGUGAAUAAUAUUUAUAUGAAUAUAAAGGCAUUAGAGGUUUAGUGCACUAGUGAAACAAACGCGAGAGGAAACGAGCACGAAACGCGCGCGUUCACGCGCUAUUGAAAGGUUGACUUUUGGAACCAAUUUUGGCCACAAAUAUCAAAGCUUUCUAUGGAAGCUUAUCAUCAGCCACCAUUCUUCUUUUCCUUCUCAAACCAGCCGUGCAACACCAAGAGAAGGAGACCAAAAUUCCUUCUGCAUUCAACUCUCAAACUUGCACCAAAUCACUUGAAAUUUCUACCACAAACUCACAACAACUUGGAGAUUCAUCUAGGCAAGGAGAGGAGCUUCAUUUCCACGGUUUUCUUGAGGCUCAAAGUGACCAAAAAUUUCUGAUCUAGUCAUCCAAGAAGGUAGCAAAUCAUCCAACCCAUAGAUCUUAGUUUUUGUAAGAUAUAUUGCACAUAUACGGUUAUAUAAUCAUGUGGGUAGCUUUGUUUAUGGUGUAAAAUGAAAUGGGUGGGCUCUAUGAACUCCCACCUUUGUCUUGGGGACUGAUAUCAUGCUUGAUGAUGGAUUUAAUGUUGGUUUAGUGCUUAUAUUAGUAGAUUAAUGUUGUAUUGUUGGUAGAAAAUCAAAGGAGGUGGUUGGAGCAAAAGUGAUCGUUUUACCCCUGCCUUGUCCGACCAUUUUUGUGCAAAAUUUUGAGGUUCUAAUGACUUGAUUAUGUUGUUUACAUGUUAUUGUGAGUGUGUACAAAAUUUCAUUGAAAAAUAACAUGAUUUGGUUGGUCAAAUGAAUUGAUUUCCAAAGUUAGCCAAACUAGAAAAUGAAUCCCGUAUUGCCCAGGCAGUCAUUUUGUAUUGGCCAUAACUCUUUACUCCAAUGUCGAAAUCAAGUGCCGUUUGCGGAAUUGGAAACUAGACAUUCCCAGCUUUCCAUUGGUACCAAUUUCACGUUCUGGUUCCACUUGAGUGAGCCACACCAUUCGAUUGAAAAUCACUGUCCUGUUUCGUUUCUCUCCAGGAGACAGGACAGGACUUGUAUCUUGAUGCUCAAAAACGAGCUGUUUGUGGAUAGAAUUUGAAAAUGGUUUCUUCUGAUAAAAUUCAGCUUUAUGAGAGAGCUUUCCAACGCCAUUAACCACGCCCAAUUCCAAGUUGAAUUGAGUGAGUUGUGGCCAAUGUUUGAAACUGCAACAGUGAUAAAAUUUUCCACUUGGACAGAUUUGUAACUAACAAUGAUUUGGGACUUGUUUUCUGAAGCUUCUUGGUAUAAAUCACCUAUCAAAUGUACCUUAGACAUUAUCUACUGAAAUGAACCGUGUUUGAGGUGUUUUAUUUGCCAAACAUUUUGAAAAUGGAAAAACGGAAGUCCAAGGCAGAUUUGCCGAGGAACUUCUUGAGACUUUAGUGAUUUCGUUAACCAACUUUACGAAUGAAUUUUCCUACGAAAUUUGGUAGAGAAAUAUCCCUUAUAUGGUAGGAUAAUACUACCAAAUUUGGUGCCAUUCCGAGUCCAUUUCGAUGUUCAAUCAAAGUCCCAAAGUUGUGAAUUAAACCUGGAAUUUACGUAACAGUUUCACAUUUUCACUAAUUUUGAAUUACCAUAUCUUGGUGCUCGAAACUCUGUUUCUCAUUCCGCUUGUUUUGUUAUACUCUUGGAUUGCAACACUAAUUGAUUUCCAAAUUUCAAAGGUUAGUUCAAAACAAAUGAAUUUUUCCGAAUUUCCAAAGUUGGCCAAAAACCAACUUAAAUUUGUCUUGGUAAUGCAAGUUACCAACUUUGAGCUACUAUAUCUUGGCGCUCAAAACUUCGAUUCUUGUUCCAUUUAUUUCGUUUUAAACUUUGAUUGUAACUCUAAUUGAGUUCUAAAUUUCGGAGGCUAGUUCGUAUUGUGUGAAUUUUGCCGGAUUUUCAAAGUUGGUCGAAAACCAACCCCGAAACUGUCUUAAUGGUCCAACGCAGCAACCUUGAGUCAAUUUUUGAAUACCUUCCGUUUAGAAUCAUGGAAAAGUAUCUUCUAGGAACUUUUAGUGCUUUUGAAGAAGUUUCCAACGGUAUCAAGUUUUCCAAUUUUGGACCUACAUAGUGCAAGAUACGAUUUUUCUAAAAUUGACACCCAAAGCUGAAAUUUGUCAAUUUCUUAGAAAAUGAGAUUUUGGAAACUUGCCUUCUUUUCUCGAUACCGAUUGAACAUUUUGAACUCGAUUUCAUGGAAAAUAUUAGUCUCUCUCUUUAGACUUUAAAACUUUACUCUUGAGCCUUGAUUAUUAAUAAUUAAGUCCCAAUUCAUGAAUUUUCCUUAGAUUGUACAACCUUCUUUGAUAAGUAGGGGUUCUAAGUGAUAGUGUAUAAUAGUUAAUGGUUAUUUGUUCAGGCGCUCAAGGGGACCUCCAAGAGGAACUCGGAGCGGACACCUAAAACGCUUGUUUGAGAACUACUCGCUUGUUUUGACUAGGUGAGUGUUCCAUAUAGGAAUACGUAAUUGAAUAAGUCUAGGACAUACUUAUUUCAUGAUUAUUAAGUGUUAAGUGCUAUGUGUUAAGUAUUUACCAUACUCAUGCCUAUUUAAGGAAUGUAUACUUGCAUUGAAUAUCUACAUGAAUUGGUUAAAUGAUUAACCAUAUCAAAUGACCAUAUGAACUCGAUACAUGCUUAACUUGCUAGAUUGCUUACUUAGCCUACUCGGUUUUGAAAAAUGGAGUCGAGUGCGUUCUUUAUCGCACUCGUUCUCUUUUGAGAUGAAUAACUCAUGCUUGGAAAUGCUCGAAUAACAUGACUUGGUAUGCUAUGGUUGCAUACAUCGUUGGAGUGAAUCUCCUCGACUCUCACAUGGUAAAAAUGGGAUAACGGCCAAUGAUGGCCUAUUCAUGUGACAAAUGCCUGUCAAUUAACCGUCACUACUCAACCGUUAACCGUCAACCGUUAACCGUUAAUCGUAAACCGUUUACCAACCCACAUGACUACCUGAUUACUUGACUAUUUGCUCAUAUGAUUUCCAAUCUACAUGACUAUUUGAUAUCCGUGAAUUACAUGAUCCCAUGAAAUCAACUUGUAUUGCUUACGUGCUUACGUGCUAAGUAUCCACUUGAUUACUUGAUUAUCAUGAAUCACAUGUUAUAUGAAGCUGUCCACCAUUGUUAGGCGAGUGUGUACUUUACCUCACUCGACCUACUCAAAUGAUGAAUUUUACCUUUGGUCGAAUUACUUGGUUACCUGUGCAUGUUGUAAGCUCUAAGCUGAACUUGGACCCUGCCCUUGGUUACUGACCUACUCGAGCCAGGACUGGGCUCGGUCGGGUAGGUUGGAACCCUGGACCACCGUUUCGGUAUACUCGAGUAUUACCACUGGAGGGAUAAGGUGAUGGCCAGUCAAACCGAGGGGAUCCGGAAGUCAUAAGGUGCAGAUGACCGACAGAGUUCCACUAGAACACCGUAUCCUACCGUAUAUGCUUACCUUGUAUCAUGAUAAUUGUUUCAUGCUAAAAUGCCAACAUGAAAUCCUGAGCUAUGCCUGUGAUAUGCUCCAUACCUGUUACCUGACCAAUGUACUCAUACCAUGAUACCUGUCUCAUGAUAAAUGUCUCAUACCAUGAUAAAUGUCUCAAAUUACUCGUACAAUGAUUAUCACCUCAUGAUAACAUGCCAUUGUGCAACCUUAAACCAUGCAUAUGAUAUACCCAACUUACUUGAUUUAUUUGAACUGUUAGAGUGU